AGGAGCGCGAGUGAAGACUGACAGCUGAGCCACGCCCACAGAGCUCAACGUUACCUGGUUAGCUCAGGCUAAGGAGCUAGGCUACAUGCUCCUGCUAACCGGCUAGCGCUGCGGUGUCACAACGAACAUAACCAGAGUUAAUCAGUUCUGGCUGAGAUGAUCUGUGGUGCUUCCACCUGCUGAACACAGAAUAAACUUACAUGAAGCACUGCAGCACCUGAUGUCCUCAGCAUCCACUGUGGCAGCAGCAACAUGG